UGUGCAGGCGGUUUUAUUAGUCUUUCGUGAAAGCUCUCGGACUCAAUCCGGGAAACGCGGGGGAAACGGUAGAACUAAGAGGACGCGAGAGGUAGAGGGAACUCAUGGUGUAGGGGUGAAAUCCGUUGAUAUCAUGGGGAACACCAAAUGCGAAGGCACUCUACUGGCGCGCUCCUGACGCUGAGACACGAAAGCGUGGGAAUCGAAUG
rnacentral:rRNA from 1 species